CAGCAGCCGCGGUAAUACGUAGGGUGCAAGCGUUAAUCGGAAUUACUGGGCGUAAAGCGUGCGCAGGCGGUUUUGUAAGACAGAGGUGAAAUCCCUGGGCUCAACCUGGGAACUGCCUUUGUGACUGCAAGGCUAGAGUACGGCAGAGGGGGAUGGAAUUCCGCGUGUAGCAGUGAAAUGCGUAGAUAUGCGGAGGAACACCGAUGGCGAAGGCAAUCCCCUGGGCCUGUACUGACGCUCAUGCACGAAAGCGUGGGGAGCAAACAGGAUUAGAUACCCCAGUAGUCCCUGUCUCUUAUAC
rnacentral:rRNA from 1 species